GUGGGGAAUAUUGGACAAUGGGCGAAAGCCUGAUCCAGCCAUGCCGCGUGUGUGAAGAAGGUCUUCGGAUUGUAAAGCACUUUAAGUUGGGAGGAAGGGCAGUAAGUUAAUACCUUGCUGUUUUGACGUUACCGACAGAAUAAGCACCGGCUAACUUCGUGCCAGCAGUCGCGGUAAUACGAAGGGUGCAAGCGUUAAUCGGAAUUACUGGGCGUAAAGCGCGCGUAGGUGGUUUUGUAAGUUGGAGGUGAAAUCCCCGGGCUCAACCUGGGAACUGCCUCCAAAACUGCAUGACUAGAGUACGGUAGAGGGUAGUGGAAUUUCCUGUGUAGCGGUGAAAUGCGUAGAUAUAGGAAGGAACACCAGUGGCGAAGGCGACUACCUGGACUGAUACUGACACUGAGGUGCGAAAGCGUGGGGAGCAAACAGGAUUAGAUACCCUUGUAGUCC
rnacentral:rRNA from 1 species